rnacentral:rRNA from 1 species
UACGUAGGGGGCAAGCGUUGUCCGGAAUCACUGGGCGUAAAGCGCACGUAGGCGGAUCUUUAAGUCAGGGGUGAAAUCCCAAGGCUCAACCUUGGAACUGCCUUUGAUACUGGGGAUCUCGAGUCCGGAAGAGGUGAGUGGAACUGCGAGUGUAGAGGUGAAAUUCGUAGAUAUUCGCAAGAACACCAGUGGCGAAGGCGGCUCACUGGUCCGGUACUGACGCUGAGGUGCGAAAGCGUGGGGAGCAAACAGG